rnacentral:rRNA from 1 species
AUGAACGCUAGCUACAGGCUUAACACAUGCAAGUCGAGGGGCAGCGCAGUGUAGCAAUACAGUGGGCGGCGACCGGCGCACGGGUGCGUAACGCGUAUCCAACCUUCCCGUUACUCAGGGAUAGCCUUCCGAAAGGGAGAUUAAUACCUGAUGGUGUUCAAAUUCCGCAUGUUAUUUGAAACCAAAGCUUUANGUGCUGAGAGAUGGUCUCGCGUCUGAUUAGCUAGAUGGCGGGGUAACGGCCCACCAUGGCGACGAUGUCUAGGGGGUUCUGAGAGGAAGGUCCCCCCACACUGGUACUGAGACACGGACCAGACUCCUACGGGAGGCAGCAGUGAGGAAUAUUGGUCAAUGGACGCAAGUCUGAACCAGCCAUGCCGCGUGCAGGAUGACGGCUCUAUGAGUUGUAAACUGCUUUUGUACAAGGGUAAACCCUGGGACGUGUCCCAGGCUGAAAGUACUGUACGAAUAAGGAUCGGCUAACUCCGUG